UACCAGCACCCCGAGUGGUCGGGACGAUUAUUGGGCCUAAAGCAUCCGUAGCCGGUUUUACAAGUCCUCCGUUAAAUCCAACUGCUUAACAGAUGGGCCGCGGAGGAUACUAUAAGACUAGGAGGCAGGAGAGGCAAGCGGUACUCAGUGGGUAGGGGUAAAAUCCGUUGAUCCAUUGAAGGCCACCAGUGGCGAAGGCGGCUUGCCAGAAUGCGCUCGACGGUGAGGGAUGAAAGCUGGGGGAGCAAACCGG
rnacentral:rRNA from 1 species